rnacentral:misc_RNA from 1 species
GAGCACUCUCUCUAUGUGAAAAUCCAAGGGGCAUGAUACUAUCUCAUGAAACUGACCCAACGGGCACUUUCCUCUACCUGGAUCCUCAUUUCCUUGCAACAGGAGAACUCUCUCCGAAUUCAGACACUUACUCAUUUGGAAUUAUAUUGUUACAAUUAUUGACAGGAAGAUCAGCCUUUAGCAUAGCAAGUGAAGUCAGAGAUGUGAUAGAUGAAAGAAAUCUGAGUUCCUUUUUGGAUCCCCAAGGAGGCGACUGGCCAUUUGUCCAAGCCAAACAAUUGGCUCAACUGGCUUUGAGUUGCUGCGCAAGGUACCAAAGUAGCCGACCAGACCUUGCAUCAGAGGUGUGGAGGGUGCUUGAACCGAUGAGAACAUUUUCCUCACCACUGGUCCAAUUUGGUUCUCAAGAGGGUGAACAGCCCCCUUCCUAUUUCUUUUGUCCUAUUUUGCAGGAAGUGAUGCAAGAUCCUCAUGUGGCAGCAGAUGGAUUUACUUAUGAAGCAGAGGCAUUGACAGGCUGGCUGGAGAGUGGGCACAACACUUCACCAAUGACAAACCUAGUGCUUGACAACUUGAAUCUUGUUCCCAACCGUUCUCUUCGUUCUGCAAUUCAGGAUUGGCAGCAACAGCACCCAAAUGCCAUUUUCUAGAUUCGCAACUAACCUUAAGCUAG